rnacentral:rRNA from 1 species
AUGCCAGGAAGAUGGCGGCCACCUAUUGAUGGGGCGUGUGUGAAGGUAAAUGUGGAUGGCGCAAUAUCUCGUAGAGGAACCACAGGAGCGGCGGCGGCAGUCUGCAAAGAUGGACUUGGAAAUUAUUUGGGCGCCUCGGCAAUUGUUCUUGAUGGACUGGUUGAUGCACCAAGCUUAGAAGCCCACGCAUGCAAUGAAGGUCUGGUUCUGGCAAGGGAUCUCAACAUAUCACAUGCGAUAGUUGCAUCGGACUGCAUGCAAGUCGUUACGGAUAUCAAACGAGGCUCUAGUUCCUCGUAUGCUUUUUUGCUUAGAGAGAUUAAUGAAAGGAUGGUUGAUUUUGUUAAAAUUAGUUUCUGUUUUGAGAGUAGGGAGUCAAACUUUGAAGCGCAUGCUCUGGCUAAGGCUGCGUCGUCGCUCCCGUCGGGUCGCCACAUGUGGCUAGGGAUCCUACCGGACAUCAUUUGUAUUCCUCCUGUUUUGAACUUUGAAUAA